UAUUAAGUGGCCGAACAGGUGUAAGUCUUUUAAACUUAUUAUAGUCCAACUCUUAGUG
rnacentral:tRNA from 1 species